GGGUUGUGAGGUUAAGCGACUAAGCGUACACGGUGGAUGCCCUGGCAGUCAGAGGCGAUGAAGGGCGUGCUAAUCUGCGAUAAGCGCCGGUAAGGUGAUAUGAACCGUUAUAACCGGCGAUACCCGAAUGGGGAAACCCAGUGUGACUCGUCACACUAUCAUUAACUGAAUCCAUAGGUUAAUGAGGCGAACCGGGGGAACUGAAACAUCUAAGUACCCCGAGGAAAAGAAAUCAACCGAGAUUCCCCCAGUAGCGGCGAGCGAACGGGGAGGAGCCCAGAGCCUGAAUCAGCAUGUGUGUUAGUGGAAGCGUCUGGAAAGGCGCGCGAUACAGGGUGACAGCCCCGUACACAAAAGCGCAUGUGCUGUGAGCUCGAUGAGUAGGGCGGGACACGUGGUAUCCUGUCUGAAUAUGGGGGGACCAUCCUCCAAGGCUAAAUACUCCUGACUGACCGAUAGUGAACCAGUACCGUGAGGGAAAGGCGAAAAGAACCCCGGCGAGGGGAGUGAAAAAGAACCUGAAACCGUGUACGUACAAGCAGUGGGAGCCCCACCACCAAAGCAUUCUCUGGUGUUGAAGGCCCUGCAAAGCAGCAUCGCGGUGGCGGAGCGUCGUUUGCGACGCCCAACACACAAAACAAGCGGUGAAUGCUUUGGGGUGGGGUGACUGCGUACCUUUUGUAUAAUGGGUCAGCGACUUAUAUUCUGUAGCAAGGUUAACCGAAUAGGGGAGCCGGAGGGAAACCGAGUCUUAAUUGGGCGUUAAGUUGCAGGGUAUAGACCCGAAACCCGGUGAUCUAGCCAUGGGCAGGUUGAAGGUUGGGUAACACUAACUGGAGGACCGAACCGACUAAUGUUGAAAAAUUAGCGGAUGACCUGUGGCUGGGGGUGAAAGGCCAAUCAAACCGGGAGAUAGCUGGUUCUCCCCGAAAGCUAUUUAGGUAGCGCCUCGUGAAUUCAUCUCCGGGGGUAGAGCACUGUUUCGGCUAGGGGGCCAUCCCGGCUUACCAACCCGAUGCAAACUGCGAAUACCGGAGAAUGUUAUCACGGGAGACACACGGCGGGUGCUAACGUCCGUCGUGAAGAGGGAAACAACCCAGACCGCCAGCUAAGGUCCCAAAGUCAUGGUUAAGUGGGAAACGAUGUGGGAAGGCCCAGACAGCCAGGAUGUUGGCUUAGAAGCAGCCAUCAUUUAAAGAAAGCGUAAUAGCUCACUGGUCGAGUCGGCCUGCGCGGAAGAUGUAACGGGGCUAAACCAUGCACCGAAGCUGCGGCAGCGACGCUGAUGCGUUGUUGGGUAGGGGAGCGUUCUGUAAGCCUGCGAAGGUGACCUGUGAGGGUUGCUGGAGGUAUCAGAAGUGCGAAUGCUGACAUAAGUAACGAUAAAGCGGGUGAAAAGCCCGCUCGCCGGAAGACCAAGGGUUCCUGUCCAACGUUAAUCGGGGCAGGGUGAGUCGACCCCUAAGGCGAGGCCGAAAGGCGUAGUCGAUGGGAAACGGGUUAAUAUUCCCGUACUUGGUGUUACUGCGAAGGGGGGACGGAGAAGGCUAUGUUGGCCGGGCGACGGUUGUCCCGGUUUAAGCGUGUAGGUGUGUGUUCCAGGUAAAUCCGGUUCACUUUAACACUGAGGCGUGAUGACGAGGCACUACGGUGCUGAAGCAACAAAUGCCCUGCUUCCAGGAAAAGCCUCUAAGCAUCAGGUAACAUCAAAUCGUACCCCAAACCGACACAGGUGGUCAGGUAGAGAAUACCAAGGCGCUUGAGAGAACUCGGGUGAAGGAACUAGGCAAAAUGGUGCCGUAACUUCGGGAGAAGGCACGCUGACACGUAGGUGAAGUGAUUUACUCACGGAGCUGAAGUCAGUCGAAGAUACCAGCUGGCUGCAACUGUUUAUUAAAAACACAGCACUGUGCAAACACGAAAGUGGACGUAUACGGUGUGACGCCUGCCCGGUGCCGGAAGGUUAAUUGAUGGGGUCAGCGCAAGCGAAGCUCCUGAUCGAAGCCCCGGUAAACGGCGGCCGUAACUAUAACGGUCCUAAGGUAGCGAAAUUCCUUGUCGGGUAAGUUCCGACCUGCACGAAUGGCGUAAUGAUGGCCAGGCUGUCUCCACCCGAGACUCAGUGAAAUUGAACUCGCUGUGAAGAUGCAGUGUACCCGCGGCAAGACGGAAAGACCCCGUGAACCUUUACUAUAGCUUGACACUGAACAUUGAGCCUUGAUGUGUAGGAUAGGUGGGAGGCUUUGAAGUGUGGACGCCAGUCUGCAUGGAGCCGACCUUGAAAUACCACCCUUUAAUGUUUGAUGUUCUAACGUGGACCCGUAAUCCGGGUUGCGGACAGUGUCUGGUGGGUAGUUUGACUGGGGCGGUCUCCUCCUAAAGAGUAACGGAGGAGCACGAAGGUUGGCUAAUCCUGGUCGGACAUCAGGAGGUUAGUGCAAUGGCAUAAGCCAGCUUGACUGCGAGCGUGACGGCGCGAGCAGGUGCGAAAGCAGGUCAUAGUGAUCCGGUGGUUCUGAAUGGAAGGGCCAUCGCUCAACGGAUAAAAGGUACUCCGGGGAUAACAGGCUGAUACCGCCCAAGAGUUCAUAUCGACGGCGGUGUUUGGCACCUCGAUGUCGGCUCAUCACAUCCUGGGGCUGAAGUAGGUCCCAAGGGUAUGGCUGUUCGCCAUUUAAAGUGGUACGCGAGCUGGGUUUAGAACGUCGUGAGACAGUUCGGUCCCUAUCUGCCGUGGGCGCUGGAGAACUGAGGGGGGCUGCUCCUAGUACGAGAGGACCGGAGUGGACGCAUCACUGGUGUUCGGGUUGUCAUGCCAAUGGCACUGCCCGGUAGCUAAAUGCGGAAGAGAUAAGUGCUGAAAGCAUCUAAGCACGAAACUUGCCCCGAGAUGAGUUCUCCCUGAGACUUUAGGUCUCCUGAAGGAACGUUGAAGACGACGACGUUGAUAGGCCGGGUGUGUAAGCGCAGCGAUGCGUUGAGCUAACCGGUACUAAUGAACCGUGAGGCUUAACCUUACAACGCCGAAG
rnacentral:rRNA from 9 species